rnacentral:rRNA from 1 species
AUUGAACGCUGGCGGCAGGCCUAACACAUGCAAGUCGAACGAGCGGCGGACGGGUGAGUAAUGUCUGGGAAACUGCCUGAUGGAGGGGGAUAACUACUGGAAACGGUCGCUAAUACCCCAUACCAUCAGAUGUGCCCAGAGUGGAUUAGCUGGUAUGUGGGGAAAUGGCUCACCUAGGUGACGAUCCCUAGCUGGGCUGAGGGGAUGACCAGCCACAGUGGAACUGAGACACGGUCCAGACUCCUACGGGAGGCAGCAGGUGGGAAUAUUGAACAAUGGGCGCAAGCCUGAUGCAGCCAUGCCGCGUGUGUGAAGAAGGCCUUCGGGUUGUAAAGCACUUUCAGCGAGGAGGCGUUACUCGCAGAAGAAGCACCGGCUAACUCCGUGCCAGCAGCCGCGGUAAUAC